rnacentral:rRNA from 1 species
UACGUAGGGUGCGAGCGUUGUCCGGAAUUAUUGGGCGUAAAGAGCUUGUAGGCGGUCUGUCGCGUCUGCUGUGAAAAUCCGGGGCUCAACCCCGGACUUGCAGUGGGUACGGGCAGACUAGAGUGUGGUAGGGGAGACUGGAAUUCCUGGUGUAGCGGUGGAAUGCGCAGAUAUCCGGAAGAACACCGGAGGCGAAGGCGGCUUGCUGGACCUGGUCUGACGCUGAGGCGCGAAAGCGUGGGGAGCGAACAGG